rnacentral:piRNA from 1 species
UGAGGUGCUGGGACUGAGGGAGUGUGU